rnacentral:lncRNA from 1 species
UGCGGUUUUGUUGACCGGCUAUAUCUGCCUAGAAGAUCAGGGGGCAGAGGACUCUUACAAGUCAAACAAGCAGUCAAAGAAGAAGAACAUGCCCUGGCAGAAGAUGUCAAGCAAAGUGAAGAACCUGCUUUGAUUGAAGUCAAAAAUCAGAAACUCCUCAAAGCACAGCAGACAAAAGACCAGUACAAGAAAGCCACACUACAAACUAGAGCUGACAGCUGGCACAACAAAACAUUGCAUGGAAAGUUCCUUGACAAAAUUGAAGGAAAAGCUGACAAGGAGAAGACCUGGCUCUGGCUCACGAAUGGGACCCUGAAGAAGGAGACAGAAGGCCUGAUCCUUGCAGCCCAGGAGCAAGCCAUCAGAACAAAUGCAAUCAAGGCCAAGAUCGAAAAAUCAGCUGAUGACCCAAAAUGCAGACUCUGCAAGGAAGCUGACGAAACCAUUGAUCAUCUCCUCAGCUGCUGUAAGAAAAUUGCACAGACAGGCUACAAACAGAGGCACAACUGUGUGGCCCAAAUGAUCCAUUGGAACUUAUGCAUCAAGUACCACCUGCCAGCAGCAAAGAACUGGUGGGAUCACAAACCAGCAAAGGUCGUGGAAAAUGAACACGCAAAGAUACUGUGGGACUUCCGAAUCCAGAAUGACAAAGUUCUGGAACACAACACACCAGAUAUCACAGUUGUGGAAAAGAACAAGGUUUGGAUAAUUGAUGUCGCCAUCCCAGGUGACAGUCGCAUUGAUGAAAAACAACAGGAAAAACUCAGCCGCUAUCAGGACCUCAAGAUUGAACUUCAAAGACUCUGGCAGAAACCAGUGCAGGUGGUCCCGGUGGUGAUGGGCACAUUGGGUGCCGUGCCAAAAGAUCUCAGCCGGCAUUUGGAAACAAUAGACAUUGACAAAAUUACGAUCUGCCAACUGCAAAAGGCCACCCUGCUGGGAUCUGCACGCAUCAUCUGAAAAUACAUCACACAGUCCUAGACACUUGAGGAAGUGUUCGACUUGUGGUUUUGUGAAACGA